GACGUAGGGCGCGAGCGUUUGUCCGGAUUUAUUGGGCGUAAAGAGCUCGUAGGCGGCUUGUCGCGUCGACCGUGAAAACUCGCAGCUCAACUGCGAGCCUGCUUUCGAUACGGGCGGGACUAGAGGUAGGUAGGGGAGAACGGAAUUCCUGGUGUAGCGGUGAAAUGCGUAGAUAUCAGGAGGAACACCGGUGGUGUAGACGGCUUUCUGGACCGUAACUGACGCUGAGACACGAAAGCGUGGGUAGCAAACAGG
rnacentral:rRNA from 1 species